rnacentral:rRNA from 1 species
UACGUAGGGGGCUAGCGUUGUCCGGAAUCAUUGGGCGUAAAGAGCGUGUAGGCGGCCCGAUAAGUCCGCUGUGAAAGUCGGGGGCUCAACCCUCGAAUGCCGGUGGAUACUGUCGGGCUAGAGUGCGGAAGAGGCGAGUGGAAUUCCUGGUGUAGCGGUGAAAUGCGCAGAUAUCAGGAGGAACACCGAUUGCGAAGGCAGCUCGCUGGGACGUCACUGACGCUGAGACGCGAAAGCGUGGGGAGCAAACAGG